UACGGAGGGUGCAAGCAUUAUUCGGAUUUAUUGGGCGUAAAGAGGGCGUAGGCGGAUAGGUAAGUCAGGUGUGAAAGCCCGGGGCUCAACCGCGGAAUGGCAUUUGAGACUGCAUGUCUAGAGGGUGGUCGGAGAAAGCGGAAUUCCUCAUGUAGCGGUGAAAUGCGUAGAGAUGUGGAGGAACACCGGUGGCGAAGGCGGUUUUCUAGCUUGUUCCUGACGCUGAGACGCGAAAGAGUGGGGAGCAAACAGG
rnacentral:rRNA from 1 species